ACACACAACACGCACACACAAGUUUAUCAUCUUAUAGUUCUGGAGGGUGGAAGUCCAACAUGCCUCUCUCUGGGCUGAUUCCAGGUGUCUGCAGGGCUGGCUCCUUUUGAUGGCUCGAGGGCAGCGUCUGUUUCCUGGCCAGUUCCUACUUCUAGAGGCUGCCAGCAGGCCUUGGUUAUGGCCCCUACCUCCUCCACAAAACCAGCAGCCUCGAGCUGAGUCCGUCUCUCUGGUUUUCUCUCUCCUGGCCCCUCUUCCAUUUAUAAGGACUCCCAUGACUGUGUUGGGCCCACCCCAAUAAUCCAGGAUAAUCUCCCCAUCUCAGGUCAGCUGACCAGCAAACUUAAUUCCCUCUGCAAACUUAAUUCCCCCUUUGCCGUGUAAGGUAGCUGUGACAUUGGGAUUUAUAUAAUAAAAAAUAUCUAUUUGGUCUUCGUCCUUGUUCCUGGCACAGAGCUCCUACAACCCGUGGAAUUUCCUAAGUGUUGCGAGUGAAAAAGGUAUCUUCUGUUAUGUGAAGGAGGUGACUUUUAGGAGCUGGUUGCCUUGAAAACCAACCAUGUGAUGGAGGGUUGGAACUUCCAGUCCCACCCCUGACCUCUGGAGAGGGGCGAGGGCUGGAGAUCGAGUUCAAUCACCAAUGGUUAAUGAUUUAAUCAGCUCGUGUAUGUAAUGAAGUCUUCAUCAAAACCCAAAAGGACGGGGUUCAGCGAGCUUCCGGGUUGGUCAACACCUGGAGACGGGGGGAGAAUGGUGCCUGAGGAGGACAUGGAAGUUCAUCCCCCUGUUCCCAUCCCUUCCCUACCCAUGUCUUUCAUCUGGCUGUUCCUGAGUUAUAUCCUUUAUAAUAAACUGGGAAUCUGGACCUGGACGUCUUUGGGGGGACACUUAUUCUGCAACCACAGAGGUUCGACCAGCCUUCACUCCCACCAGCGCUCCAGCUUCAGCCUCAGCCAGAUGCAUUGCUUGUAAUUCCCAAAAGCAGGAUUUUAAAACUUACUGUGGAACAAUUGGUAUUGAACGUCAGGAUGUGUUAAGAAGGAAACGUGAUUCCUAAAUUCCGGAAGCCUCAGGAGGAAGGAGCUCGGAAUCCAGGACACACGCAUGGCCCCAACCCGUGAGGGAAAGAUAGGAGUUCUAGCUGCUGAGAUGAAACUUCUGAGUCAUUGUGGACAAAGCCGUACAGUUGAAAAGCACAGGUUUCUAUGAAGCAGCUUUUCCUUCCUGCUGUAGAUUCCAGAAAGGGAGGGAAGGCAGAUCCAACAUGGAAGAGGUCAAUGAGAAGCUGGACCAUCAGGGUGGACAUCGCCCUGGGGGCUGUGUGACUGAGAAAGCCGAUUAACCUCGACGAUGCUCGUUUUCCUGGCUCAUAAAAUGGGGGUGAUGAUAGGUAUGAUAUAACUUUAAAAAGCAACUUGGAGAUCCUGAGCAGUGCACGCCAUCCAGGAAACGAGAAAUUCUUGUCCCAGUCUCGGUCCUCAAGUACCACCCCUAUAAGUUUCCAGGUCUAAAUAUACAGAUGUUUUGCCAGACAUUUAUCAUUUGUACAUUGAAAUAACAAACUACUUGCAAGUUGAUUUACCCUCCAAAAGAAGUAGCAUUUCCAAUAUUGAGUCAAAGAUACUGAAGAGGCUUUAAAGUUUUCCACAUUAGCCGUCUGUGUCAAGUAACAAUAAGGUGCUUGUUUUUAAGUGAAAAGCCCCAUUCUAUGUGUUUCCCGCUGAGCUGGGUGUUGAUUGUCUGCAGGCAGCCCAGCGACCCUGCCGGCCGCUGUCUGUCCUGCUUUUACAAUCAGUCCUGGGGAGCUUUGAAGCAGCAGAAGAUGCCUCUGAGGGUUUAUCUGAAAGGCCUCAUUGUAGUCCGUCUGGUUGUUUUUAGAGCUGGCUGGAAAAGAGAUCUCUCUAGAUACCGUGCUUAGAAAUCAGUAUGCACGUGUGGUUUCCACUGUCUAAUUAAUUCAAAAUGAUCACGAGAAACUUUGUCCUCUCUACGCAAGGCACAGAGAGAGAAUGACUUUUGACCUUUAAUCCCAGUUCCUACCCUGACAAAAGUACCCAAUGGCUUUGAGCGCAUCAUUUCAACCCCCCAGCUUCUGCCGGGUGCUGAGGAGCCUGGGGUCCUAAUUAGUCCUUGAGGGGACUGGAGGGGACGUGAACUGGACAGAUCCUGCCUGAGGGACCAGGACUCUGAAGGGGAGGGCAGAGCUGGCGUGCACCCUGGGGCUGCCCAGAGCUGACCCAAUUUUGCAGCACCAUCCUCUCUGCAAACCAUCAGCCUGUCCUUCAAAAUCUCUUCUUUCUAUCUAGUCACCUUGCUCUUCCAUCGCCGCCCGUGGUGGACAUUGGGGUCACUGAGACGGGCGUGCUCCUAUAUUUUAGACUUUUCUGGCAUCUGUAGUGUAAACACAGCCCAGGUGGAUCCAAGGUUCGUAGGUUUGAAGAACCAUGAACAGAGGGAGGAUGGAGCAUCUGCUUUCCUACGAGCAACAUGCACAAGGGGGCGGCUUCAGUCUAGGACCCCAACGCUUAACUUGUCAUUUUGCCACCUGUUUUCAGACCCUGUCCAAUUUAGACUCUUGAGAGAUUACUAUUUCUAAAGUUAAACAGUCGAUUAAACAGGAUUUGGUUUAGCCCAUCAUAGAUGUUAAAGAUUAAACCAGACCGAGGAGGGAAAACAGCCCACAAUGGAGGCACCCGCCCUCAUUAGGACCUGAGCUGGCACUGCCAUGCCAUGCGGGAGCUCUUGACACUUUUCCAGCAAGAUGCCCACACACCGGUGAGUGGCUGUCCUGGCCACUCCAGGAAGACAGGGACACGGACAGUCCCGUCUUCUUCACCCUUGAUGUCAGGGAGGGUGGCAGUGCUCUCUGAGGACAGCCAUUGUUGGCAGAACCCUGGAUGUGAGAAUUUCAUUGUUCUGCCCUGAGUGGCACUGAGUUACCAGAGCUGGGGGGCACAGGGUAAGGUGGGACUGACCUGCCCCUGUGCCCGGACAAGAGGCUCUUGGAUCCGCCUGGGUGCUCAAAAAUGGCAGGAGUUAAGAAGGCUCCCGGAGAGCCAUGCACCAGGGACGGCUCCGUGCUGGGAGGGGGACCCCAGCAACCAAGAGCAGUGACUGUGCCUGUGGACCCCCGGUGCCCACGGUCAGGGUGCUGAGCCACUGUCGACAGCGUGGGACAGAGCACAUCCCUCCGUCCCGAGAACCGCUUCUCCUGCCUUCGACUCACGGAGCCUGUUGGAUUGAAAACAAAAUGCCAGAGAGAGUUCCCAGGUUGCUCCUCCAAGGAGCCAAAGAGAACCCAGAAAUGAGAAGAUGUCAGGGGGCCGGCCUGUGGCUGAGUGGUUAAAAGUUCUGUGCGCUCUGCUUCGGCAACCCAGGUAUGCGGGUUUGGAUCCUGGGCUCUGACCCACUCCACUCAUCAGCCAUGCUGUGGAGGCAUCUCAUAUACAAAAUAGAGGAAGAUUGGCACAGAUGUUAGCUCAGGGUAAAUCUUCCUCACCAAAAAAGAAAAGAAAGAGAAGAUGCCAGCAGCAGUGGUCUGGGGCCAGGCUCCCAGAAUCGCGACCUCCUCUGCAUCCAGACCCCCUCAUCCAACAAGGGUGGUGGCCUGGGACAAGGUCACUGCAGAGGAGGAACCUGAGCAGGGACCCUGAUCACCUGCCCAGCUGCCCCUCUCCCAGUGCAUCAAACAAGCAAACUCUUAUUCCUGCUCUUCUGGAUGGAAGGAGCAAAAGCAACCCGAGCCAUAAACAUGAACGUGGAGUGAAGGCUGGCAGAAGCUGUAGGGGGGAAUUCGCUUAUUCCAGGGGUGCACAGACCCGCACAUGCACAGCGCCUUGGGUAUCGGUCCAAAGCAGCUCUUCAGGGAGGCUCAUCACAUACCAGCUCUGGUCCCACCCUUCACGGCAGCAUGAAUCCAUCCCAGGCUAGUAUUAGCUCUCACAGAAGAAUGGGGAUUUGGGUGAAAUAGUUUGGGUAGAAAAUGAGAACAAAUGGAGACAGGGUCGUGCAAAUGAUCCAGAGCUAGUUUGUUAGUUACAUGCAAGUCCCUGAAGAAAAAAGAUGUAAUUGCAAGAAUGUCUAAAUUGUUACAAUAUAAAUAAAGGAUUUACGAAAACA